rnacentral:rRNA from 1 species
ACGGGAGGCAGCAGUGGGGAAUAUUGCACAAUGGGGGAAACCCUGAUGCAGCGACGCCGCGUGAGGGAUUGAAGUCUUUCGGUAUGUAAAGCUCUAUCAGCAGGGAAGAUAAUGACGGUACCUGACUAAGAAGCCCCGGCUAACUACGUGCCAGCAGCCGCGGUAAUACGUAGGGGGCAAGCGUUAUCCGGAUUUACUGGGUGUAAAGGGAGUGUAGGUGGUUUGGUAAGUCAGAUGUGAAAGCCCGCGGCUCAACUGCGGGACUGCAUUUGAAACUAUCAAACUAGAGUGCAGGAGAGGAAAGUGGAAUUCCUAGUGUAGCGGUGAAAUGCGUAGAUAUUAGGAAGAACACCAGUGGCGAAGGCGGCUUUCUGGACUGUAACUGACACUGAGGCUCGAAAGCGUGGGGAGCAAACAGGAUUAGAUACCCUGGUA